rnacentral:rRNA from 1 species
GACGAACGCUGGCGGCAUGCCUAAUACAUGCAAGUCGAACGCUUUAACUUCACCGGGUGCUUGCACCCAUAGAAGUUAAGGAGUGGCGGACGGGUGAGUAACACGUGGGUAACCUGCCCAUAAGAGGGGGAUAACAUUCGGAAACGGAUGCUAAUACCGCAUAUUUCUAAUCGUCUCCUGACGAAUGGAAGAAAGGUGGCUUCGGCUACCGCUUAUGGAUGGACCCGCGGCGUAUUAGCUAGUUGGUGAGGUAAUGACUCACCAAGGCGAUGAUCAGUAGCCGACCUGAGAGGGUGACCGGCCACAUUGGGACUGAGACACGGCCCAA